UGAAGCCAUUUUAAAUUGGACCGCCAGAGAUCUGAGGUUACUUAAGAUCCCAGAUUUGAGCAGGACAGGAGAUCUGGAUCUGAAGACACUCAGAAACCUUGGUGUCAUUGUCAUCUGAGCCUCCAUUUGUGGUCACUAGGUCACCAACUGUAAAAUGCAUGUAGAGGGAAAUCGAAUAGAUGGGAGGCAGAAUCUCACAUCCCAGCACUGAAGUCUUAGACUACAGACUUGAGCUUUGUCAGUUGAAUUCUCCUGCCUGGGACUGAAUCUGGAGAUUCUAUUAGUUGUUUCUUAUACUGGCUCUGAUGAAGCAAGCUGCCAUAGGGAGAAGUCCAUGUGGCAAGGAACUGAGGGUGGCCUGCAGCUAACAACUAUCAAGAAAUUGAUGUCCUCAGUCCAAUAACCUGUAAAGAAUUGUACCCUACUGACAACCGUGUGAACUUGGAAGAGCAUCCUUCCCCAGUCUAGCCUAUAUGAGACCCUAGGCCUGGUUGAGACCUUGAGCUUCAGCCUAGUAAAACACCCUGAAGCAGAGAACCAGUUAAAUCAUAUCCAGAUUUCUGACCCAGAGAAACUGUGAGAUAAUAAAUAUGUGGUGUUUUAAGCUGCUAAUUUUGUGGUUAUUUUUCACAUGGCAACAGAUAACUAACACAUUCACCCAAGGUCAUACAAGUGGUAAGUUAAUGAGUAAGGAUAUGAAACUUGGCAGUCUGGCUUUGAUUUAGG
rnacentral:lncRNA from 1 species